GCGCCUGUAGCUCAAUGGUAGAGCAUCUGUCUUAUACACAGAUGGUUGUAGGUUCGAAUCCUACCGGGCGCA
rnacentral:tRNA from 1 species